CCUACGGGAGGCAGCAGUGAGGAAUAUUGGUCAAUGGACGAGAGUCUGAACCAGCCAAGUAGCGUGAAGGAUGACUGCCCUAUGGGUUGUAAACUUCUUUUAUAUGGGAAUAAAAUGUUCCACGUGUGGGAUUUUGUAUGUACCAUAUGAAUAAGGAUCGGCUAACUCCGUGCCAGCAGCCGCGGUAAUACGGAGGAUCCGAGCGUUAGCCGGAUUUAUUGGGUUUAAAGGGAGCGUAGGUGGAUUGUUAAGUCAGUUGUGAAAGUUUGCGGCUCAACCGUAAAAUUGCAGUUGAAACUGGCAGUCUUGAGUACUGUAGAGGUGGGCGGAAUUCGUGGUGUAGCGGUGAAAUGCUUAGAUAUCACGAAGAACUCCGAUUGCGAAGGCAGUUCACUGGACUGCAACUGACACUGAGGCUCGAAAGUGUGGGUAUCAAACAGGAUUAGAUACCCCGGUAGUC
rnacentral:rRNA from 1 species